rnacentral:lncRNA from 1 species
UUCGUUAUUGCAAAAAAAGAGUUUUAAGAAUAUUUUUCCUUUAUAAAAAUGUCUCUAGCCACAGGAAGAUCUCCUGGGUUGCCUGGCAUAUUGGAAUCACACUUAAUAUCCUUAAAUCGUUAUAAUUGCUUAUUGUGUGAUAAAAUUAGUGAUUCCAGUUUGAUGCCGUCAAUAUAAUUGUGGUCUUUUGCAUUUUUAUCAAAUGUAUUUUUCGCAAUCAUGACUACUAAUUGUUUGGUGCUUGUUUUGUUCGGUUUAGUCUUAUUUUGCUGUCAACAGUGUGAAAAACAGAGGAGGUUCUUAAGCUUUAUAUCACCAUAAACGUAUGGCCGUGUUGCAGAAGUAUAAGGUGGUUACUACAUCUACUUCCGUAAAAGGGUAAAAUUGUUUAGUAAAAUUUUAUUAAUCGGUAAGAGAAAGAAAUAAAUCUAAGUCAUUAAGAGUUGUCUUUUAAUGAAAAAUUUAAAUCUAUAGAGCCUCUAUAAAUAUUGUACUUCGUCCAUUCCAAAAUUUAAGAUUAUUAUUGUUUUUUUAAAGUUCAAUUUGAGAUAUUUUUAAAUUUAUAAUUGAUAUUUUUAAAUUUAAAAGUCAUUCAGAUGUUUUAUACUUUUUAGUUACUAAAUAGUUUUUUAAGUUCAUAUGUUAUUUCACUAAGAUGAUCUAAUUUAUUUAGAUAUACUAAUUGUUCAGUUUUAUCAAACAUCAAUUAAGUGUGUUCUACUUGGACACCCUUAAGGAUAUAACAUUUAAGUUUAAAAAUUAAUAUUUUUACAUGUUAAAAUGAUAUUUCUAUACGAGUCUCUCCCACAUAGAGGUAGGACUCUCACUAUUCAUUUGAGAGAGAUAAUGUAGAAAUAUUAUUUUUUAUGUGAAAAUAUCAGUUCUCUUAAGUUUCCACGCUUUUAUUCAUCGCCUACUAAGCAACAAAAAGUGAAAUAUUAAAGGUGGUUGAUAUUUUCACAUGUAUUUUUUAUAUUUUUCAUGGUCAUAUCUCACAUAAGCAUACAGUGGGUCAUACAUUCAUCUGAAAAGGAACCAUGUAAACAUUGUUACGAAAACUGAAUGGACAGACUAUAUAUAUAUAUAUAUAUAUAUAUAUAUAUAUAUAUAUAUAUAUAUAAACUUAUCUCAAGUAAAUCAAAUUGCAGCAGAAGAUUUGUCAAGGUUAGUACUUGGUACUAUGUCCUUAAGACAAUUAUGUCAUCCUUAUGGUGUUCAGAGUUGAUAGCACUUGUUUCUCAGAUAUAAUGACAACGUAUACUAUAGUAGCACUACAAAUAGUAUAAUUUAUGAACCAAUUAUAAUGUUCAGAACUCUCUCUAAAUGAACUAUGAAAUAAAUACUAGAAAUGAACACUAGAAAUGAACUAUGAAAUGUUUGGAUUUGAAUGAUCGAAGUAGCUGCCUGCUAGUCAAUUUAUAGGAGGGGUUAGUGACCAUUCUGAUGGGACACAAGCACUUGAAAAGACAUGGGAUGCUUUGGUCAAAACGACGUAGUUUUGCGCCUUUGCAAAAUGGGCACGUUCGUUCGGACAAAAAACGAUGUAAUUUUGGGCCUUACCAAAAAGGGCGCUUUCGUUCGCUAAAACGACGUUUUGGGGCAUCCGAUCGAGCAGAUAAUGACAUAGUUUUAAUAAUAGAACUAAUAAAAUAAAAAAUAAUUAAAUUUUAUCCAAAAAAUUAUAUACAAUGACCCAGACCCUCG